rnacentral:tRNA from 1 species
GCCGCAGUGCUGGAACUGGUAGACAGGCCAGCUUGAGGGGCUGGUGUUCGUAUGAACGCAAGGGUCCAAAUCCCUUCUGCGGCACAA